rnacentral:lncRNA from 1 species
AAUAUAGAAAGACAGGAUGUUGUGGUGGAAACCAACAUAUUCCAACUUGAGUUUUCAGAAAUGUAGAAGUUAUAGAUGAUGACUAAGUUCAGGGUGUGGCUAGGGUGAAGGCUUUUGAGAAGACAGAUACAGAGGGAGAUAGAAAGUACAAGAACAAAACACCAAGGUGGAGCAGAGGCUCAGAAAAGGAUCCUCUGAGAGAACCACACUUCAGAGAGCUGUGUAAGUCUGUCCUUUCUGCUAUAGUGAGCUCCUUUAAAAAAUCAGGGCUUUUACUUGGCUCCUAUUUUGUGCUCAAAUUUCAGAUGUGUUGAAUAUCUGCUGUUUGCUGGCACUUUCCCAUGGUUCUAUUAUACCAAAAUCUCUUAAGAUAGAGUUUAUUUUGGGCUGGGGUUGUAGCUCAGUGGUAGAGCACUCGCAUAGUAUGUGCGAGACCCUAGGUUCGAUCCUCAGCACCACAUAAAAAUAAAUUCAUAAAAUAAAAGGUAUUGUGCCUAUCUACAACUAAGAAAAAAACGUUUAUUUUACAAAUGAAACCUAGAGAGGAUAUUUAUUGUUCAGUCAUACCACCAAAGUAUUUCAAAGCUAGUGUUGUAUUCAAAUCCAGCAUUAUUUCAUUUUCACCCUUUAUAGUCACCUCAAACUUGUUAAGUCCAAAAUUCAUCAUCUUUGCCCUUUCCCCAAAUAUGUUCCCCCUAAGUUUUGCUCAUUAAAUGACACCACAGAGCUAGGAAUGCAACUCCGUGGUAGAGUACCUGCCCAGCAUGUAAGUCCUUGGGUUUGCUCCCUAGCACAAGCAAAAACCCUCAUUCAUUAUCCAACCUUUGGUUCAAGUUAAAAAUCCAGGAGUCAUCUUGGAGUCCUCUAACUUCAAGACUUGGCAUAGUCAGUCAGUCACUGAGUUCUGUUUGCCUCCAAAAGUUCUCAAAGGUAACUUCAUCCAACCCCAAUGCUUUUUUUUUUGUUGUUCUGGGAAUUGAACUCAUGGCUUUGUACAUCAAGGUCUACCACUGAGUUACAUCCUCAGCCCCUAAAGUCUUUUAAACUUGAACUUUUCUUCUUUUCUUUUUCUUUUUUAAAUCAUGCUGGUGGUGCUGUACAUAUUGAGCCCUGGCAUAGGCAGUUUCCCCAGCUGACCAGAUCCUAGGUGAUCCAGGUGAGGUCUUCGUUAUGACCAUUGCUUCUGGAUUCUCUAGCACUUUUGGUAUGACUCAGAUGCUGUGCUGGGUCAUUUUACAUAUCCAGAUCCUUCCCAGUGGACAGAUGAAGAAUUAGGCAUCCCUCCUGAUGAUGAAGAUUGAAAGUAUAGACUCAACUCUUAUCAAGAGCAAGUGAAAAUUUCAAGAAAUUACAGACUUCAUAUUGUACAUUAAAAGUUGUACCCAGGGGCUGGAGAUGUGGCUCAAGCGGUAGCGCACUUGCCUGGCAUGUGUGCAGCCUGGGUUUGAUCCCCAGCACCAUAUACAAACAAAGAUGUUGUGUCUGCCGAAAACUAAAAAAAAA